AAAUGCGAUAAGUAAUGUGAAUUGUAGAAUUCAGUGAAUCAUCGAAUCUUUGAACGCACAUUGCGCCCGCCAGUAUUCUGGCGGGCAUGCCUGUUCGAGCGUCAUUUCAACCAUCAAGCCCCCGGCUUGUGUUGGGGACCUGCGGCUGCCCGCAGGCCCUGAAAAACAGUGGCGGGCUCGCUGUCACACCGAGCGUAGUAGCAUACAUUCUCGCUCAGGGCGUGCUGCGGGUUCCGGCCGUUAAACGACCUUCAUAACCCAAGGUUGACCUCGGAUCAGGUAGGAAGACCCGCUGAACUUAAGC
rnacentral:misc_RNA from 1 species